GGGAUUAGAUACCCCACUAUNCCUAGCCCUAAACUUUAACUUACACCACCCAUGCGCCCGGGAACUACGAGCAACGCUUAAAACCCAAAGGACUUGACGGUACCCCACAUCCACCUAGAGGAGCCUGUCCUAUAAUUGAUGACCCCCGCUAAACCUUACCACCCUUAGUCUUAUCAGCUUGUAUACUUCCGUCUUCAGCUUACCUCGUGAGCGCAAUUCAGUGAGCCUAAUGCCUACUCCGCCAAUACGUCAGGUCAAAGUGCAGCUAAUAUAGUGGAAAGAGAUGGGCUACACUCUCUAACCUAGAGGAUACGAAAGGCUAUGCUGAAACCAUACCAGAAGGCGGAUUUAGAAGUAAAAAGGAAACAAAGAGUCCUUUUUAACCUGGCCCUGGGG
rnacentral:rRNA from 1 species